rnacentral:rRNA from 1 species
AUCCUUGAAAAGGAAGAUCAAGAACGCUUCUAAGAAGCUUUCUUGAUGGAGGGGAGCGGCAGACGGGUGAGUAACGCGUGGGAAUCUACCGUACCCUACGGAACAACAGUUGGAAACGACUGCUAAUACCGUAUACGCCCUUCGGGGGAAAGAUUUAUCGGGGUAUGAUGAGCCCGCGUUGGAUUAGCUAGUUGGUGGGGUAAAGGCCUACCAAGGCGACGAUCCAUAGCUGGUCUGAGAGGAUGAUCAGCCACAUUGGGACUGAGAAACGGCCCAAACUCCUACGGGAGGCAGCAGUGGGGAAUAUUGGACAAUGGGCGCAAGCCUGAUCCAGCCAUGCCGCGUGAGUGAUGAAGGCCCUAGGGUUGUAAAGCUCUUUCACCGGUGAAGAUAAUGACGGUAACCGGAGAAGAAGCCCCGGCUAACUUCGUGCCAGCCGCCGCGGUAA